rnacentral:tRNA from 1 species
GGUUCCAUAGUAUAGUGGUUAGCACAUCUACUUUACAUGCAGAAGGUCCUGAGUUCAUGCCCUAGUGAAGCCA